rnacentral:lncRNA from 13 species
CUUCGAUAAUGUUAUAAAUAAUAAGCUGCACAUUUGGAGCCAGCUUCUUGGUGAUGACUUCUUUGGCUCAAUUUCUCACUUAGGUCAAGUGCUGUGCUGUACUGAUUGAUAGAUGUCUCCAGAAGGAAGUUUGACAAUGGACCACCUAGAAGCAGAUGUGCCUCAAGUGAAGAAGUCUGCAGCAGAACCUCCACUUGGCCUAUGAUAGAUACGCUGCUGGAGAAGAAAUCAACCUCCUGUCUUCUCUCAGUUUGACAAGAAAGUUGAGGAUCAUUUUCUAAUACAGUAUAUACAACACGCCGAUAACAAGAGAGAUUUCUUCACAAGAGUAAAGAGGUGAGUUUGUGGGCCGUCUUCAUUCACUUUGAGACAUUUCUUAUGCAUGUAACCUUAAGCUCUAUGAGGGGAAAUGGGGGUUCAUAGAGAAAAAC